rnacentral:lncRNA from 1 species
CGGACUGUCAAACAGAUAAAUGGCCUAUAAAACAUGCUUAAACAAUCUAAAUGUUCAUAUAAACCUACUAAGAAGGCUAUAUUUUUCUUCAAUUAUCUAAAAAUCAAUUUUAUUGUACAAAGACUUUCAUAUUUAAAAAAUUCAACAUGGCCAUAAUGCGAAAAUAAACUUCUAACUGUGUAUUGCUACCUUAACGAGGCCCGAUCUAGAACGCGUUUUUGAAUAUUGCGCAACUCGGGCAUUUUUCGGUAGUUGGUUUAACGGUUAUAACAUAACACAUAAAAUAAAUAUAAACAAUACCUUUUCUGAUUAUUUUAGGAACUAAAAUGAUAAAAUAAAUCAAUUUUUGAUCGUAGUUUAUAUUUUAUUUAAAUUUAUACUGUUAUUAUUGUUUACGACAUAGUUUCGCGCCAUUUACGGCAAUGUAAACAAUAUCAGACGACAUGCCUAGCAGAAAGAAGAACGGUCGGUUUUUGAAAAACUGUCAGGCAGAGACUUACAACAACAGAUUAGACAACAUAUCUAGACCCGAUUUAUCCACAACUGAUUUUGAUACACCAUCUACACUCGAUUUUGAUACUACUUUUACACCCGAUUUUGAUACUACUUUUACGCCCGAUUUUGAUACAUCUUUUACACCAGGUUCUUUCCAACAUGAUCACACGUAUCAAUCCUCUGCAUCGUUUGAUGAGAUCAAUGAGUUCUAUUUUUCUGGAAAAUUAAAGCCAAUAGGUUAUACCAGACAUGUGAUUGACAUUCAAACCUUUUUUGAUAAUAUGAGAUGUUCCAGAUGUGACAUUACAUUGAAGUUAAAAGAUGGAAUUGGAAUUUUGCCUGCUGGUUUAUGUGG